GACGUAGGGGGCCAGCGUUGUUCGGAAUUAUUGGGCGUAAAGGGUGUGUAGGCGGCGCCGUAAGUCAGGUGUGAAAUCUCGGGGCUUAACUCCGAAACUGCAUUUGAUACUGCGGUGCUUGAGGACUGGAGAGGAGACUGGAAUUUACGGUGUAGCGGUGAAAUGCGUAGAUAUCGUAAGGAAGACCAGUGGCGAAGGCGGGUCUCUGGACAGUUCCUGACGCUGAGACACGAAGGCCAGGGGAGCAAACGGG
rnacentral:rRNA from 1 species